UUUUUUUUUUUUUUGAGACAGGGUCUUGCUCUGUUGCCCAGGCUGGAGUGCAGUGGCAGGAUCUUGGCUCACUGCAGCCUCAACAUCCUGGGCUCAAGUGAUUGUCUUGCCUCAGCCUUUUGAGUUGUGGGGAAUACUUUUAUUUUAUUUUUAGAGAUGGGGCGUGCACCAAUACACCUUGCUAGUUUUUUUUUGGUGAAGAUAGGGUUUUACUAUGUUGCCCAGGCUGGUCUGAAACUCCUGGGCUCAAGCAAUCUGCCUGCUUUGGCAUCCCAAAGUGCUGGGAUUACAGGCCUGAGCCACCACACCUGGCCAUUGUGCAUAUUUCUUAUCUCCUGAACCAAAUGGUUAGUCCUUUAAGAGCAGGAGCACAGUCUGGAUCAUUUUGGCAGGUCCUGAGUAUGUCAACACUGGUGUGCCUUAUGUAUACAGGUAUACGAUGACAUUCCUGACACAAAUGAAUGAGUGGAGGAAAGCAUGUACAGGUAGCUGUGCUCCCCACCUAGGACUUGAUGUAUCAUUUUUCAUUUUCCUCCACGUGGAUUUUGGCCUUUCAAAGACCUCAUGCCAGUUUAAAUGAUGGCACUGGUGCCAAUGAUGGUGCUGCUACCACCCAACAAAACUUUCUGUGAUGAUGGAGAUGUUCUAUCUGUCCAGUGAGGUAGCCCCUAACCACAGGUGACUAUUGAGCAUUUGAAAUGUGGCCAGUAUGGCUGAGGAAUGGAAUUUUAACUUUUAUUUAAUUUUAAUUAAUUUAAAUCCAAGCAGCCACUGAGGUUACUGGCUGCCAUACUGGAGAGUGCGCCAUCAAAUCACAUCCUAGCCUGGCGGGCACACAGUCCCUAUGUACUAACUACUCAUUCUGCCAUGGACAGGAUGACAGGCCAGGACACUCUGGAUGCCAUCUUCAGUGUGUCUAGGCUGUGACUCUGACUUUCUGGCCCAGGACCAGGGCCUUACAGUGCAGGAGAAAGACAGAGAUGUGGAAGCUUCAUGGGGAAGCUUUAAAAAUGGAUGAGCAGCUCUCAAAUACUCUUUUCCCUAAUUUCUAAAAGUGAUCAGCCUGCUGCUUGCACUCCGAAGUGCUGAUGUAUUGGUGUGGUGCUGUGGCAGCAUGAGGCAGCACAUUGCUAGAAGGGUGGUUGGCCUUGUGUCGAGCAGCCUCCUGCUACCAAUUGGCCCUGAAUGGAUAGCUCCUUUUGGAGAGCAUAAUGAGUUUCUCAUGAGGACAUUUGUCCUGCUCUGUGGCAUCUCCUACAGCCACCACAUGUGUGUGUCCAAUUGCAGCUGGACAGCAAGAGUGCAAACAGCCCCUGUGAGCACCCCGGAUUGCUGUGGGUAGGGUGACUUCAACACACCCCAGGCCUGGCCACUUUGCUAGCUCUCCAUACACAUACAAAAGGGUAUGAUGCCAGGACAGAACUAGGAUAAUGAUGCCAAGACGGAGCAUGGCACACACUUUUAGUGCACAUAUAUGGUCACCUGGCUGCAGAGUGGCCUCCUUUCAUGAGGUUCCUAGAGCACACAUGCAGGGCCCUUUUGUUUAUAGUCAUCUCUUUCAUAGAGUUCUUGGAGAUCAUCAACUACGCUUUGGUCCACUCUGCUGCGCACUCAUAUUCUU
rnacentral:lncRNA from 1 species